UGCACCGCCUAGCGUCUAGUCUUCGCGGUCUUUCGUCAGUUGCGCCUUUUCUCUCCCUGGUGUUUGAGAACGUAGAGGACAAAAGGAUACCAAAGAAUGGAAAACUAUGACAAAGAUUCUUCAAGAUCACAAGCACCAUCUUUAACAUGUUGCCAUGGUAGCAGAUACAGGGGA